CACCCUUCGGGGUGAGGCGAGUGGCGGACGGGUGAGUAACACGUGAGCAACCUAUCUCUGUGUGGGGGACAACCCGGGGAAACCCGGGCUAAUACCGCAUGGGCAGAGACUCCGAGUGGAGACUCUGGGAAAGUUGGCCUCUUAACAAUGCUGACGCGCAGGGAGGGGCUCGCGGGCUAUCAGCUAGUUGGUGGGGUAACGGCCUACCAAGGCGGCGACGGCUACGGGGUCUGAGAGGACGACCCCGCACAUUGGAACUGAGACACGGUCCAGACUCCUACGGGAGGCAGCAGUGGGGAAUUUUGGGCAAUGGCCGCAAGGCUGACCCAGCGACGCCGCGUGCGGGAGGACGCCCUUCGGGGUGUAAACCGCUGUCAGAGGGGACGAACCGCCGGGACGUGAAUAGCGUCUCGGUCUGACGGUACCCUCAAAGGAAGCACCGGCUAACUCCGUGCCAGCAGCCGCGGUAAUACGGAGGGUGCAAGCGUUGUUCGGAAUCACUGGGCGUAAAGCGCGCGCAGGCGGGACAUGCAAGUCGGGAGUGAAAUCUCGGGGCUCAACUCCGAGACUGCUUCCGAAACUGCAGACCUGGAGACCGGUAGAGGUGGGUGGAAUUCCCGGUGUAGCGGUGGAAUGCGUAGAGAUCGGGAAGAACACCUGUGGCGAAGGCGGCCCACUGGGCCGGAUCUGACGCUGAGGCGCGAAAGCGUGGGGAGCAAACAGGAUUAGAUACCCUGGUAGUCCACGCCGUAAACGAUGGGCACUAGGUGCCGGGGGGAACGACCCCUUCGGUGCCGCAGCUAACGCGAUAAGUGCCCCGCCUGGGGAGCACGGCCGCAAGGCU
rnacentral:rRNA from 1 species